AGAAUUCUAACGGGUGGGGGCAGGCCUGCUUGCCAAGAUGGAGACCAAGAAGGGGCAGGUUGCGUGCAGGGCACUACUUUCUUCCUGGGCUCCUGGGCAUUAGCGCUGAUGAUGAAGGAUGGGCGCAGAACUGUGUUUGGAGUCCAGCUGCCUACAUCUUGGUGUUUCCAUUCUUCAGAGCCUGCGUUACCCCGGAGUGGAACAUGGUGUGGGACUCAUAGCUGCUCCUUGUAGUCUGAUAUGUGUGCACAUGUGUAUUGUGUGUGUGAACUCACGUGCAUGCUAGAGCAGUAAAUUCCUUCUCCGAAUUGUGAA